UCUUUGCUAGUAUAUCGGUUAGUACACGCGCCUGUCAUCAUGCCUUUGGAGUUUUGCACGCGCGAAAGCUGGGUUCGACUCCCAGGCAGAGAG